rnacentral:rRNA from 1 species
UGGGGAAUUUUGGACAAUGGGCGAAAGCCUGAUCCAGCAAUGCCGCGUGUGUGAAGAAGGCCUUCGGGUUGUAAAGCACUUUUGUCCGGAAAGAAAUCCUCUGGGUUAAUACCUCGGGGGGAUGACGGUACCGGAAGAAUAAGCACCGGCUAACUACGUGCCAGCAGCCGCGGUAAUACGUAGGGUGCAAGCGUUAAUCGGAAUUACUGGGCGUAAAGCGUGCGCAGGCGGUUUUGUAAGACGGAUGUGAAAUCCCCGGGCUUAACCUGGGAACUGCAUUCGUGACUGCAAGGCUAGAGUAUGGCAGAGGGGGGUAGAAUUCCACGUGUGAGCAGUGAAAUGCGUAGAGAUGUGGAGGAAUACCGAUGGCGAAGGCAGCCCCCUGGGCCAAUACUGACGCUCAUGCACGAAAGCGUGGGGA